CGUUAAGCCGCUAAGAAAAAGUUAAAGCGUAGUGAUGACAGUGCACGUUAGCAUACUGACGUUUCCCUCUCGCCCUCUCUGCAAUCUUCACCCCGCGCGCUUCUUACAGUCAGACGCCAUUUUGCGCGGGCGCCAUAUUGCUUGUUUUGUGUCGAAGAGAAGCGUUUGCGUUGAUUGAUUUCCGCCCUUUAAAUCCACAAAUACAGUAUUAUUGACAUUGUGCUUGUUUGUAUUGAUGAAAAGUGUUUGCGUUGAUUAAUUUCCGCCUCUUCUAAUCUACAAAUACAGCUUCGCCGGCGUUUUCGUAAUGUAUCGAAAGUGUUGUGCACCCGAAUGCAAUAGUUUACGACAGGACGUUAAAUUGCAUCAUAUUCCCAAGAACGAGGAAAGGAAAAUACAGUGGUUAAAGUGUAUACGUAGUGAAAAUUUUAUGGGUGAAACCAAAAACAUGCUUGUUUUGCCAUAAACAUUUCGAGCAAAGGUUUCACACAGCGUCAAAUCAUCUGAAGAUUGGAGCUUACCCUACUUUAUUUUACGGAUCUGGGAGAUAUCCCCGGGAAGACCAUCAAUUGCCUCCAGAGAAAGAGAUAUAUUCAGUGACCACAGUUACUCAAGGAAGCGACACAUUGAUCACUCGUAUACACUACCUUAUGAGCAAAAACCUAAUAAAGGUGCACAAACUGAGGUUUCUGAUACAUAUGUCUUGCCUACAAUACCAGGUCAACUUGUGCCCGUUGCAUCAUCAAGUUCCGCACUGCACUAUGCAUCAGCCUCAAUAUGUAAAACACCACGAAAAGUAGUCAAAAGAAGGCUUAUUAAGAAUGUAAAGGCCUUAACACCGAGGUGCAAACUUUUAUACAAUGAACAUAAAAAGGUUAGAAACCAAAAAGAAUACAACACACAAGUCAAAAGGGCACUGACUGGCCUUCAGUAAAACUGAGUGUUUAGAAGAAGUUCUAAAUAAGAUGAACCCAUUGUCGAGAAAUGUUCUGUCAAUGCAAAUGAAACUUUACAUGAAAAAAAAGAUGGCCAGAAGGUUUACAACCGAAGAGAAACUUAUUGCUCUUUCAAUUUACAAGCAAGGUCCAAAAUGUUACAAGUUUCUCCAAAAGAUAUUCAUUUUGCCUUCAAAAUCAACUUUGAAGAACUUGAUAAGCCAACUAAAUAUUGGUGCUGGCAUAAAUCCACAAAUAUUCGACCUUAUAAAAAAUCAGGUAAAAAGCUGGGACAGCAAAAGAAGAUUGUGUACAGUGCUAUUUGAUGAAAUGUCACUAGAAACUGCUCUAACAUAUUCAAAUUACAAGGACGACAUUGUUGGAUUUGUUGAUUUAAAUGGAAAAACCAACAGCUUUAC